rnacentral:tRNA from 2 species
GGGUCGGUAGCUCAGCUGGUAGAGCACCUCACUUUUAAUGAGGUGGUCCGGAGUUCGAACCUCCGCCGACCCACCA